rnacentral:lncRNA from 1 species
CCCCCAUUUUUAUGAUCGGUCAAGCCCACUAGUCAGGCACUCCGGCCUAUUUGGCAUGCCACACCAGCUCCGGCGACCUGGAAGUAAACGGUAUAGUUUUACAUGCCGUUCGAAAUUUCAGUCGACAUAAUACCAAAUACUUAAGGGUGCAUGACAGUGACCACCAACAUACUAGAGACGGAAUAUGUACACAGUGGUAGACGAUGACCACAUGGUCGCAUUAUCCAGGCCGGAGACCUUCAAUUACCCUGCCAAAGUUGAAGAUCCGUGGAUCCCAGGUGUUAAAACUUGGAAUGCUGAUCUCAUUACUAACCUCUUCAUUAACCUCUUUAGCUCUGACACAACUAACAUCAUUUUGAACAUUCCUAUCAUUCAAGCCUUAGGUGAAGAUGUUCGCUGUUGGAAACAUACACCCUCUGGUCUAUGUUCUUCCAAUAUUGCAUAUAGACUUUGCUUCCAGAAUCUUCCAUCCAUCCCUAGGGAAGGUUCAGUUGCUAGCUCUUCUCAGGAACUUAUUCUGCUUAAGGCCAUCUAGGCUAACAAGUUCAUAAGUAGCUCAACCAGCAGGCCGGCCUGCUGGUGUGUGCUUGGUUGGAACUUGAAAGGAGGAAGUUGACCGGAAAGGUUGAUGUGUGGGUCGAGAUUGGGAGGGCGCGUGGGGGUGUUGCGGCUCGAGCUCGGUGGCAAUACCUCCAAUUUGCAGAGUGGAAUCCAGAAAAUUUGGGCUCCGCAAAA